UACAGAGGUCCCAAGCGUUGUUCGGAUUCACUGGGCGUAAAGGGUGCGUAGGCGGUCGGGUAAGUCUGAUGUGAAAUCUCACAGCUUAACUGUGAAACUGCAUUGGAUACUAUCCGGCUCGAGGAAUGGAGGGGAGACUGGAAUACUUGGUGUAGCAGUGAAAUGCGUAGAUAUCAAGUGGAACACCAGUGGCGAAGGCGAGUCUCUGGACAGUUCCUGACGCUGAGGCACGAAAGCCAGGGGAGCAAACGGG
rnacentral:rRNA from 1 species